rnacentral:lncRNA from 1 species
AUAUAUCUUAAAUAAAUUCCAAUCAAGUCCUAAUUUAAUCUUAAAUGAAGCACUAAUGGACUUCAAUAAAAUCCUAGGCCAAUUCCUAAAUCUCAAAUAAAUUCUAAAUUCUAAAUCAAACUCUAAAUAAAUCCUAAAUCCUAAAUCAAAUCCUAAAAAAAUCCUAAAUCUUAAAUAAAAUUCUAAAAAAACUCUAAAUCUUAAAUCAAAUCCUAAAAAAACUCUAAACUUUAAAUCAAAUCCUAAAAAAAUCCUAAACCUUAAACCAAAUCCUAAAAAAAUCCUAAAUCCUAAACCAAAUCCUAAGGUAGAUUAGAAUCCUAAUAUCUAUUGAUUAAACCAUUGAUCUUGCUUGAAAAUUUAUACACCUCUCAAUAUCUUAGUUAAAAAAUAAUAUAAAAAAUUUAAAAAUAAUUUUACUUACCAAAUGAAAGAAAAAUCCUAAAAUCCAUUCAGGUAUUGGCAAGCCUCCUAUUCCAAUCUGAAUAUUAAACUUCUAGUGCUAAUAUCUCCUUUUCAAACCAUUCAAUUGUUUUCAAAUUUUACACAUGUGUAGCAAAUCAAAUUUAUUAUCCUUAUACAUAACUUUCACUUGAAUUCAACUAGUAGAUUGCUGAAAAUCUUAGAAAUCCUAAUUGCCUC